CACUUUCAAACCUGCGAUAGGCUCCCUCUCCCCUGUCCUGCCCCCUCCACUCCCUCCUCUCUCCGCGGCCGCCCCUCCUCCUCCCUCCUCCCUCCCCUGCUCUCUUCUCUCCCUCUCCACCCGGCGGCGGACCUCCGCGCGCGUGGCCACGCGACGGCGGGAGCGGCCUGCGCGCGGCGGGGCUCCUGCGCGCCGGCGGCGGGGCGGCCUGUAACGCGACCUGCGCGGCUCGGCGGUCCUCCUCCAUGGUCCCUCCCUUGGCGCCCAUGGCGGGUCCCUCCUCCAUGCGGGACGCGGCGAGCGCGUGCGCGGCGCGCGCGCUCGAUCGCGGCGGCGAGCAGCGGGGUUUGCUGGCGCGGAGCAGGAGCCAUAGCGCGGGGCGGACCUCGAGCGCGGCGGACACGGCGGCCAUGGCCGGCUCGGGACGGCGCGUCCCUCGUGGUCGGGCCCCCUCCCCGCACCAUCCCUCUCCCCGGUGGCCGGCCACUGCAGGACGGCGCAAGGCGAGGCGGGCGUCCUCCUUCCUCCCAACAUGGCAGUGGCGCGCGGGGCCAUGGCGGUGGAUGGCCAGAUCUGCACGGCGGCGACCCUCCAAGGUCCAGCGGCGGCCGGAUCCGCGCGGGUCUGGCGGUGCUCCGAGCUCCGUGGCCGGAGUUCUGCAGCUCGCCAGGUGGAGCUCGCCGGCCAUGUGCGUCGCCCGCGCGGUCACGAUGGAAGGUUGCAGCCCCCACACGCGCCGCGGCGACGUUGCUCGCCAGAGUUGUGGCCCCCAUCAUUUCAGAUCUGCGGCCUUCUUCCUUACCCAGGAAGCCAAGCUUCUUCCUCACCGGGAUCCACACGCCCUCGUCCUGCUAGGUUCCAUCCUCCGUCCCCUAUCCUCCUUCUCUGCUGUAGUGGUCGUUGCCUGGUUGCCAUUCUGUUGAUUGGGUCUUUGGGUGUUGCCUCUCGUCGUCCCAAGGUUUCAUUCACGGUGCUUCUCUGCUCCUGCUUGGUCCCCAGGUGCUUGCCUUCUUCAAAAAAAAAAUUUUACAACGAAGGAAGCGACCAUGUCUGAUCCCCUCCAUGCAUCUUAAUCCUUCUGCUAAAGAGAGGGUUUGCUGCCCGGUCGGGGAUCUCAACAAAAGAAACAAAACCAGAAAUAAGGCCUAUGAAAUUUCUUCCCUGCCUACUGCCGCCCUAAUUGGAGGUCCUUCACCGAAUGCAACAGAGAGUUUUGCCCAGGAGCUUGUUGAGAUGUCUGUUUCAGACCUAAAGUUUAAGGUACAUCAUCCCUCUUUGUAUGGUGAUGCUUGCCACAAGAAAUUUUUGAAUUCAGUUUUCAGUCAUCCAGUAUUUUAGGUUGUUCUGUUUGUAAUCAGGUUAGUUUUUACUUGCCUGCUUCUUUUUUUUGGGGAAUGUCUCCUGACAAUGGAAAUCAUUUGCAUUUUUAGAGACUGCCAGCCUUGGAACUUUUCUCAGUUACUUUCAAGGAAGGUGUAGAGCAUGAGGCAUUAUUAGAUUGAGAUGAUGAACUAUAUGAUGGUGAAUCAAGCGAACUUCAUAGUAUUGGCCUUCAGUCAGGUGGGACUUGCCCACUGCCUGAAAAUAGACAUGUCGAUGUUUCAGGAAGUCGACAACCUGUCAAUCCCCCUUCAUACGAAGUUUUACAGGUUUAUUUAACUGCUUGUCUUGCAAAUGUGAACAUCAACAACAGUAUGAGAUGAAAAUCAAAGUUUCUUGAAGAUUUUGGUGUAUCUUGUUGGAGCUUUUUCAAGUAAGAUGGAAAAAGAAAAGUGCAGCCUACUGCAUCUGCGGGCUGCGUGAUCUUUGCCUUCCACUACCGCCGCUACCCGAUUAGCCGGCAUUUUCUGGUGCCACCACCGUAUCAUCUGUCAAAGGACCAUCCAGAUGUCCAUUAGACACAUUACUACCAGCCUAAUGUGCUAAGCUAGAUGCUUUGUUCCA